GAGGCCGAGGCGGGCGGUCACGAGAUUUGCAGUGAAUGAAUGGCUGGAUUCAUGGUGUUCUUUUAAAUAGGAAAAAUUCUUGGUGAACUCAUAAAAGGUAAGAUGGGCCAUCCCACCAUACUGAUCACAAGUUUCCAGGAUUCAAUCUGUGUGCACACUGUUCACUGCAGCUACUGGGAGUAGAUUCCAAUGCAUGGCAAUUGAGGGACUACGUAGCUAAUUCACAUAACCUAAAGCCACAUCUCUGGGUCAGAUUUCUCUCUUUAACUCUUCUCUUCAAAAUCCAAAUAUGUAUUUAGAAAUCUUCAUCUAGAUGUCCCAUGGGCACCUCAAAUUCAACAUAGUCAGAACAGAGUUCAUUAUCCUUCACUGAAAACCUACUUCUUUUCCUGUAUCUCUUGACACCUGUGUCUCAGAGUCAUGCUGUUCCCUUUCUUCCUCUCCUUUUCUAUGUUUAGUCCAUCAGGAAGCCACUGCUUGGCAAAUUUUAUGACAGGACCCUCCUCUUCAGUUUAAUUUUCUGUUUUUGUGAUUUGCUUCAGUCCUAUUUUGUCAUUGUGGAUGAUGUCUGCAAUCAUCACUUGCCUAGGGUUUCUGCAAUAGCUACAAACAAGCCUCAUGCCCUCCAGACUCGGCCUGCUCCAAUCUACUUGCUGCAUUACAACUAGAGUUAUUUCUCUAAAAUGGAAAUUUGAAAAUUUGUUAUCUUACUUGAAACUCAUCAAUGGUCUCUAAUUUCAAAAUAAAGUCUAAACUCUUAAAUCUAGUCCUCUGCAACAGCAUGUAUUAUGUUACACAAUGACUGGUUACUCUUUUAUCUAAAUCUUCCAACAUAAUGAAAGCUUCUAAAUGUUUUUGGAAUGAACAAAUGAAUAGCAUAUUGUAUACUUUUAUGACAUUGAAUUCUCA
rnacentral:lncRNA from 10 species